rnacentral:lncRNA from 1 species
GGCUGUUUUUAAAUGCUUUUUUCCUUCUGUUUAAGUGAAAUCUCGUUUCUGUGAUUGAAUUUAAAAAGCUUGUACCUAAAUAAUUAAGUUUCCCCCAGUUUGUAUGUUCCUUUAGUAACAUCUAAAUGUUAUAGAAUUUCAGAUUGCUUGAAUUUUUUUAUACUGUACUUUUUCUACUUCUGGAGGAUGAACUUACAUCAUUUUUCUUUGUUUUUUUAUGAACUCUCUGAACAUUUUAAACAUAAAAAUAAACAGAUCCUUUAUAAUCAG